UCCCACACUGUGAUGUGGUCAAGCCGCGUGCUUAGUCACUUCAUACCCGGUGUCCACACUGUCGAUUUUUUGGAAGCCAGAGUUUUCCUUAACGUCUUGCCCUGCCAUUACACAAUGAAGAGCGCCAGGAGCUGUUUCAGCUAAUAUGGCCAACCUUUCCCAAGCAGAGGCAUGGAAACACGAAGUUUAAAACACUUUCUUGGAAUGGAGUGCUGAAAAAUGAUGAGGCGUCCAGCGGAAGAGGCAUCCAUGUGAGGUUUUGACCUGCAGUGCCUCGCUCUGGACAAAAGCAGCUGGCUGGAAGGCAGGACUGUCACGCAGUCUUCUGAAACAAAAGCAGCGACAAAAUCCUGCUUCUGCCUAUUCAAAAGCUAUUCUUCUGAUUUCAAAUGAUGGUACAUAAUUACACCUUUCCCCAAAUGUAUUGACAUCAAAUACGUUGACUGAAAGAUAAAUACGGAAUGGGCUGUGGCUUUUGCUGUAAGACAUAGUAAUUGAGGUAUAAAUUCUAACAGAAACAUCAUUGUUCUGUUUCACUAAAUGUUAUCCACUCUUUCAACAUAACAAAAAUUUAAAACCAGAAUGUUUUCCAAUUUUCAUAGAAAGCACAAAGGGAGAACCAAGCUGAAUAAUUAAUAUGUUUAGGAACUGGAGGUUAAUGGGGCAUCUGGGUGGCUCAGUCAGUUAAUCUUCUGACUCUUGACUUUAGCUCAGGUCAUGAUCUCAGGGUCAUGAGAUGGAGCCCCACGAUGGGCUCAAGCUAAGCCAGCACCAGCAUCGAGUCUUCUUGUCCCUCUCUCCCCCUCGACCCCUCCCCUCUUGCUCAGCACGCUCAUUCCUGCCCAUGCAUGCUUUCUCUCUCUCUUUCUAAAAUAUAUG